rnacentral:lncRNA from 1 species
GAUUGAUAGGUGCUAGGUAGCCAGAGAACAGUGUGAAGAGCAUAAAAAGAAUGGGCAAGGCACAGCAGUAAAGAGACAGAGUGCUCUAAAUCCAAGAACUGUGCAUUAUUCUGCAUAGGUGAAGAGUAGAGUGGAUGUGGGAAGUCAUAAGGGCUGAGACUAGAGAUGUAGGCAGGGACAAGAUGAUGCAAAGUCUCAUACAACAUUCUGAGGAAGACGUUUACCCUGAAAGAGAUUUUCUGUCAACUGUCUUCAUUUUCACCGUAAGAUUGAUAAGGACAUUUCUAAUUCAUUGGGCAUAGCAUUUUACUUCAUAAAAUCUGCAGUUUAAUUUCUUUGUUAAAAAAUGAACUGCACAGCAAAAGCAUGUGAGGAUAAGGAUUUCUGAAUGCUGUCAUGCACACCCUGGUGUUCCCAGCACCGAGCCAUUAAUGCAUCACUGCUGUCCUGUGCUGGAUGAGGGAGGAGAGAGAGUUAAGAGAAGCAGCUGGCUAAGGAGAGCCCCAGGGAUGAGCUCCCAGAGACACUUACCUGGAAAGAAGAAAGCAAUAGCCUUCAUCAUGUCUAGUCCCCUCUUGGCUCCCUGCACUGAAAUCCCAGGGAUCAGCUUGUUGCUGGACAUGCCACUAACUUCUGUGUCAAUGUACACAAACCCAGCACAGUUGCACAAGCUGCUACAAGUGAUGUCCACUAUGUUUGCAUUUCAAACAGGAAGAAAGGAGAAAGGGACAAUAUCAGCAAAAAAAGAAAACUAAAGAAAAGAGUCCAUUUUAUCAGGGAAGCAAAAUUUCCCACAGAAGCUCCCCCAAAAUUCUACUUAUGUCUCAAGUGUGGAAGAACAGUGUUACAUUAAUACACUCAACUGCAAAAGAGACUUAGAAAGGCAAGGAAGAGAGGCUUUGGGGUUGGGGUUUGGUUAGGCUCGCAAGAGUGUCUGCCUACGAAGUGGCAGGACCUGAAGUCAAAGAUACAAUGCUCAGCAGACUCUCCCCUCAAGCUCUUCAAACUAAACUG